AUAUUCUUCAAGAAGGAUUAAGGAGCUUUCAAAGCCAAACAUUUGGACAAUCUUCAAAAGGACUAAGGAUUUCCACUUAUGGAUUUAGGUACGCUUCCUCUUAUGUUGUUAUUCCAAAUAAUUCGAUAUGAAGGCUAUUAUGUUUUAGUCGUAUUUAAAAUCCUAACAGUUGGUAUCAGAGCCUCCUUCAUAUUUGGAUUAUUUGGAAGUUCAUGAAAUUCAUGUUAUAUAAAGUUUAUGAUUAAGUUAAGAUAGAAUUUUGAUUAUGAAAUUCUAGUACCAUGAUAUAGCAUGAUUUCAUGAAUGAUGUGUUGUUGAUGAA
rnacentral:lncRNA from 1 species